CAGCCGCCACGGUAAUACGUAGGUGGCAAGCGUUGUCCGGAAUUAUUGGGCGUAAAGGGCUCGCAGGCGGUUUCUUAAGUCUGAUGUGAAAGCCCCCGGCUCAACCGGGGAGGGUCGUUGGAAACUGGGAAACUUGAGUGCAGAAGAGGAGAGUGGAAUUCCACGUGUAGCGGUGAAAUGCGUAGAGAUGUGGAGGAACACCAGUGGCGAAGGCGACUCUCUGGUCUGUAACUGACGCUGAGGAGCGAAAGCGUGGGGAGCGAACAGGAUUAGAUACCCCCGUAGUCCCUGUCUCUUAUAC
rnacentral:rRNA from 1 species